CCUACGGGAGGCAGCAGUGAGGAAUAUUGGUCAAUGGACGCAAGUCUGAACCAGCCAUGCCGCGUGCAGGAAGACGGCUCUAUGAGUUGUAAACUGCUUUUGUACGAGGGUAAACGCAGAUACGCGUAUCUGUCUGAAAGUAUCGUACGAAUAAGGAUCGGCUAACUCCGUGCCAGCAGCCGCGGUAAUACGGAGGAUUCAAGCGUUAUCCGGAUUUAUUGGGUUUAAAGGGUGCGUAGGCGGUCGGAUAAGUUGGGGGUGAAAUCCCGAGGCUCAACUUCGGAAUUGCCUCUGAUACUGUUCGGCUAGAGAGUAGGUGCGGUAAGCGGAAUGUAUGGUGUAGCAGUGAAAUGCUUAGAGAUCAUACAGAACACCGGUUGCGAAGGCAGCUUACCAAGCUACUUCUGACGUUGAGGCACGAAAGCGUGGGGAGCAAACAGGAUUAGAUACCCUUGUAGUC
rnacentral:rRNA from 1 species